UUACGGCCAUAUCAUGUUGAAACACCGGUUCUUGUACGAUCACUAAAGUUAAGCAACUGGACAGUACCUAGAUGGGUGACCGCUUGGAAAUACAAAGUGCUGCGAG